UGAUGUCAAAUGGUUCUCCCCUUAC
rnacentral:piRNA from 1 species